rnacentral:SRP_RNA from 14 species
ACCUGGCAAGGUGACAUGUGCCUGUAGUCUCAGCUACUUGGGAGGCUGAGGCAUGAGGAUGCCCAUCAGGUGUCAGCACUAAGUUCAGCAUCAAUAUACUAACCUCCUAAGAGUGGGGGAACACCAGGUUACCUAAGGAGUGGUGAACUGGCCCAGGUCAGAAAUGGAGCAGGUCAAAACUUCUGUGCUGAUCAGUAGUGGGAUUGUGACUAUGAAUAGCCAGUACACUUCAGCCU